UGGAGCCCCCAGUGCAAGGAGGACAGGGAGCUGUUGGAGAGGGGCCAGAGAGCCACAGAGAUGAGCAGGGGGCUGGAGCAGCUCCCUUACGAAACAGGCUGAGGAGCUGGGCUCAUUCGGCCUGCAGAAGAGAAGGCUGCGGGGUGACCUCAGUGCAGGCUGCAGUGCUGAAGGGAGCCUACAAACAGGAGGGGAAUCAACUCUUGGAAUGGGGAGAUAACAGCAGGACGAGGGGAAAUGGUUUGAAAUGGAGGGAGGGGAGAUUGAGGUUGGACGCCAGGGGGAAAUUCUUCACAGAGCGGUGAGGUGCUGGAACAGCUGCCCAGAGAGGCUGUGAUGCCCCGUCCAUCCCUGGAGGUGGUCAAGGCCAGUUGGAUGGGGCCCUGGGCAGCCUGGGCUGCUAUGGAAUGGGGAGGUUGGUGGCCCUGCGUGUGGCGGGGGGUUGCAGAUUCGUGAUCCUUGAGGUCCCUUCCAACCCUGGCCGUUCUGUGAUCCUUGUGAUCCUUUGCUGUUUCAUGCUCCUGCUGCUGCUGCAUAGGUUGCUGUUGGUUUACUCUGUUUUCCUUGUUGUUUUUCUGUUGCUUCUGUCUUGAUUUCCUGCUCCUUCUGCAUUGCAAUGCAUUGUUUUUUUUCCAGUUUUGUUGAUUUUCUUUUCCCUUCUGUUUCUGUUCUUUGAAGUCCUUUUUCCUUUCCUAAGCACAUUCCCUUCUGUUCGCGAGGAUUUCAGGUGAUUUAGCUUUGCUUUCCUUGGCUUUUUAGUACUUGCCCUUUCUUUUAUUUUCCCUGGUUUUCUUGGCUUUGGUUUGCUCUUUGGUUUUGCGUUAGUAUCUUGGCCCUGCAUUGCUUUUAAAUGUUCAUUCUUUCUUUCCAUUGCUAUGCAUUGGUGAACGUUUUUAUCAGUUUCCUUUGCUUGGAUUCUUUGCUCUGUCAUGAUCGUGUACUGAAUUCACUGGCUUUCCUCUUGUACCUCUCGACCUUGUUUUGCUUUGCUUUGUUUUCCUUCUUUGUUUUGUUUUGCCUUUUUGGUUUUCCUGCAGCGAGCCUUUUUGCUUUGCUUUCAUUGUCUUUGUUUCCUAUUUGCUGGUUGGUUGUCUUUCCUGCUCCUUUCUUGGCAUGAUCUUGUUCCUUUUGCUAGAAGCAGUCUUUUACAUUUCAGAUAUGUUUCUUGGCUUUGCUCUGCAUCCGAUCUCUGCAUCACAACUCUACGUCAGGCUUUAUUUUGGGGUGGAGGAAUGUACAUAGGUCAUAGACUUGUACAAGAAAAGCUAUUGCUGUGCCCAGGAGGUGAUGAAAAAGAGCCCUGAGGAGCCAGGAGCACAAAGGCCGCAGCGUAAGCACAUGUGAACCUCGAAGGGCUGCUUUGUGCCUCUCCAGGAACUGCUUUGGAAUGGGGCAUUUUCUGGAGUUGUUCCCGGUUGUUGCUCGGAGCUGAGGCUUUUCUCCUUGUAUCUUUGCAGGAAAGCAGAGCGCAGGGAGCGUCUGUGGUGAGAUGCUCAGCUGAAAUUGCCUUCCCUGCACCAGCAGCCUGUUUGUGUCCACGUGAUGCAUGGUGAGGAGAAGCCUGCAGUUCUUGUGACAUACCUGGCCCGUCAGAUAAUUCAGCAGGGAGUGGUGCCUUCUUGCAAAGCUGUGGCAGUGUCCACAGGCCAGCCCCUGAAGCCCCAGUCAUCAAGACCCCGUACGUCACGUCCAACGCCAUCUGUCUGAGCUGCCCCUGAUAGCUGAGGCUACCUCAUGUCCCCUCAAACUGCCAGGCAUCCAAGCUUCUCCUCCUCUACCAGCUCUCCACUGGCUCCGACACCUUUGCCACCUCCCGUGUCGUGUGGUGGCAAUGCAUGGUGCUGGAUCAGGCCCAGACUCCCACCCUGACAGCAGGCACGUUUCCAAAAGCUCUGCUCACUUCCUCAUCCUGCUGGCUCGUGAGAAGAUCCUGUUGUCAGCUCUGCCAACCAGCACGGCAGAGGUGGGAUUGUUGUGGGCAGCCUGGAAAACAGCAGGGGAAAAACCAUUUCCCCCUUUGGCUGUUAUCUGUUGAGAAAUGCUGUCUGGUGAGUGUUGAGUCAGGGCCUGAACCACUGAUGGAGCAUCUGGGGAAAGGACCCAGUCAGCCCUGGGAGCACAGGUGAGGGCAGUUCAGUUGCAUGAUGGAAUGAGGGGAGCCUGGCUGCACCUCUCCUAGACCUCAUUGAAGGGCUGACUGUGCAUGGGCAAGGAUCUCUGGUUGGAGAUCCCUCCCUUGUGGAGUUUUCCCUGUGGGCCUGGAUCUUCAGGGACAGGUGAGCACUUUGUCUUUGUAACACCAUCUGUUGUGCCAGUCCCUUUGUGGUUACACCUCCUUCACUGCACUGAUCAUUCUGGUUGUUAGAGACGUCCUCUGCCCCUUCCCACCUGUAAAGCAAACAAGGCGAUGACAGAGCCUUGAUUUGAGAUAGAGGAGCUAUAGGACAGGAUAUCAAAGAAAGAGGAAUCGACUCAUCCCUCCCAGCAACAGUUUGGCAGAAAGCGGUGAGCUGAGGAAUGCAGCCUUCUGCGUUUGAACUGCGGUGUGCUGAAAGGUGUUGCCCAGCUGUUGGGGGACUCGCUGUGACCUCCCUGUCUCACCGCUGCCUUUGCACUGGACUUCACAGCACCUUGAUGGUGAGUAGUGGUCCUCUGGAGAUGCUGAGCAACAGUUGUGAGCUGCGCCCUUUUCCUGGACCGGUAUCCCAAGCCCUUCUCAGCCCAGAGCCUGUCUCUCUCAUCUGGUGUUCUAUGGAUAAGUCAGCAAGAUGGGACUUUGCCAGCCACCUGGUUUCAGCUUCACCACCCAAAUGACAGCAGGGCAGUCCUGCAGCUCAUGGCAGCCCUACGGCUCUGCUCCUUUGCCAGGCUGGAGGGCUGAAUCAGCUCCGAUUCUACAGAUCCUUCCCUGAGUCCUGCUGCUGAGCACCGAUACUUGUGCAUCCUCUGGGCCACAUCAGGACUGGAAAGAGGAGUAGAUAUCAGGCGGAAGGAUCUGGCCUUCUGCUGGUGACAGCCACCUGCAUGGCCUGUUCCUGCUUUCUCUUUUCCCCAGGAGGCAUUGUGCUUCCCAAGCAGUGCGUGGCCCUUUCUGAUGGCAGUGAGCAGCAAGGAGCCGACUGGGUCUCAGCUUCCUUCCUGCCCUGCGCUUGACUGAGGGACCCUGCGACCAGCUCAGAGGUAAGAGGUGGCCAUGGGCCCAGCUCUGCCAGCUCUCACUGCAAAAGGGAGCAGUUCAGGGAAAGACACAGCCUGGGUGAGCCUGAGCUUUACUCUGGCAUCUGAGGGAGCUGUGGACAUCAGCUGUGGACACGACUCAUCGAGGUGUGGGUCAGCUGUGGAUGCUCAGUGUUCUUAAGCAGCCCAGCUGUAUCUCACAGGCUGUAGUCACAAUUUCUCUGCGAGGCUGAGAUACCCUGAGGAUCACGGCGUCUCUCACUUUGCUCUCACGCCCUUGCUCACAGUCUCUGAGGAACGACUUGAGCCCUGUGCCCACGUCCUCGCUCACGUGCUGGAGUCACCUUUAUGCAUUUUGGUGUCAGGGCUCUUGGGGCAAAACGUGCCUGGACACUGCCACACAUGUAAUGCCUUUCUGCGGUGCACACUGGAGGAUGCAGAACUGGCAGGGUCUGUGAUGCUUUAGGAAGCUGGUCUGAGCUCUUUCAGCAGCAGUGAGAACUCUUCUCACCUAGUCUAACCCUUAGAGCAGCAUGGAGUGACCGGUGCUUCCUGGGGAUAAGUCUUUUUUUCUACUUUCUAUCCCAAGUCCUUUCCUUUCCACGGAAACAGCAGAAGUGUUCCUUCAGAGCUGAUUUACCCCUGCUGUGUUUCUUUUCUCCUUUUGUGGAUGAGCAAGUGCCCCUUUAGGGAUGAGCAUCUCUUUGCUCCUCCCAUUUUACAGCUCAUAGCGGGGUGCCCAGGACACCCCACAGUUGUGGGGAGCAGCUGGCACAAGAGAAAUAAGUCUUGAGGCUGCAGCAAAGAUUUUGGGUCAUUUGCAGUGGCUCAGUGGGAGCUUGCAGAGGCAAAAAGCAGCUGGAGAUGUGCUCUGCAGUUCUGUGCUGGUUUGCAGAUUCCUCAGGAGUUGUCCUGGGUCACCUGGCUUCCACCAGGAGUGCUCCUCUUCUCUCCACAGAUCACAUCCCAGGUGCUGUCUGUCUGCCUGUGGUAGGUACCAGAGCAAGGAGGCCUCUCCGUGCCAUUGUUGCAGUGAUUUCAGUCUGUGGCACCCACAUUGGGACGCAUGGAUGCUCCAGAAAACAGCUGUGAACCCUGGGGCUGGGAGAAAGAUGCCAAAAACGAUGUAGAGAAAAAAACAGAGGUAAAUCUCAGUUUGUUCUCGAAUCAGGAAACACACCUGCUAAGGUGAAGCUGUUUUUCCCCUGCAACCUAGCCCUAAUUCCAGGAAUCAAGCAUACCCCAAGCACCACCAGCUGGGACCAUCCAAGAAGGUUUAUUUUGGACGCUGCUCUCCAGCACCCAUUUCGGAGCAGCCAGUGUGCUUCCCAUGGAUGCUCGCUGCUGUCCUGAGCCGUUUAUAACCUCAGGAGCCCCUGCUAGAAGGCAGCAUACUUCAGGACUAAAAUGGCAUGGUUUUGUAGGAGGGAGCAGGGGCUUUGUACCAGGGAGCUGCAGAGCAUCCUGGACACAGCAUGCAGGCAAGAUGGGAACAUCCACUGCCUGGCUGUGUUGGCUCCACAAAACUGCAUGGGGACACAGCAUCUCUAGCAAGAAAACCUGCAACUCAU